GCCAUGUUAAUCACGUUUCCAGCUCAGGUGAAAUUCAAAACGUAGCAACUCCCUCCAAUAGAACUCACCCUCUCUUCCAUCGCACCGAAUCUCGCAUAGAAAUUCUUCAAUUCUUCAUUAAACGUGUGGAUCGUAACAGACUACGCAUGAACCCUAGAAAAUAAUUCGAGAAAUUAAAUCACAAACUCUUGGAAUCAAAGCCCCGGGGGUUGGGGCUUUGAUUCCCCCAGCUAAAACCUACAUUUUGGUAACAAGAUUGGAGCAAACGACUAUGGAAAUGGGAUACUCAUCAGCAAAGAUGACGCGACGACGACCGAAGUCCAGAUUAAUCACUUGUUGAAAGUUACUUUGGAUUGGCUGCUAUGUCUUUGGAUGGAGGCUAUGUUUGUGGAUGUUAUACAGGUUGUGGCCAGACACUGCUCAAUGUACUCUAGUUUGGGCUUGAGUUUGUCAUUGUGUUUGGCCUUGAUGUAUGAAUGGUUGGUCCAUGUUAUAAUAUGGUCUAUAGAGAUAUACUUCAGAUGUGCUUUUGUGUGUGUUGUAAUGCGGUUAAGGUCAUAUAUUUUCCAAGUCAUGUGGUUAAUGUUAUGCAUAUUGAAAUAAACAUGGUUUGUGCAUUUGUUUAGAAAUUUGACAUCAUGAUGGAAAGGUGAUGAAAAGGCUUUGUUUGAAAUGUGUUACGACUAUGUUGUUCUGCCAGGUUCAGCAGCUAUAAGGUUUGGUUGAGAUGUGAAUGACAGGGCUUCCCCAUAAUAGCUAGACUGUUGUGCAUGUGUAUUGUUUGUAUAUAACUAGAUAUUGGGAUGAAAAUCUAUUGGUGAUUGGCUUGAGGUUUAUUAUGGAAUGUUAUGUGUAGAAUGUCACUAUAGGAUGUUUGUCCUUUGUUUUUGUGUCCUAAUGGUUUUCUUGAAUGUCAUGCUGAAAGGUGUUUUAAUGCAUACCAGGUUGCUAAAAUGAGAAGAUAGGUACAUGGCCAUACGUUUAGUGCUUUGGACUAUCCAUUAAUACUGUGUCUGCUGCAAGUGAGCUCAGGUUUAUAGACCAGUGAUAUUGGAUAUGGUUUCAAGGCAAUUCCAAAGCAUGACAAAGUAUUCAAAUCAAGGCGAAGUUCAAGGCCUGGUCCAUACCAAACUGGAUGAAAAAAAUAAGCUUUCUUGUUCAUGAAGCAAGUGACCAUGGAAUCUUAUGCAAGAGUGAAGAUGUAAUGAGUAUUAGGAUUUAGGUCAUGAAAAGUAGGUUAGUUAACUUUGGUCAACUAGUUGACCAAAAAGUCAAUUGUUGACUAAAGUCAACUGUAGGUCAAAAUCAUUUUUUUGUACAAUUUGCACGUGUUUUUUUUGUAUAAUUUGCAUGUCUUUUUUGUAUGGACAAUGUAACUUGUUUUUAAAUGAAUGAAAUGCACCUUUUAAAUGAGAAA